rnacentral:rRNA from 1 species
GACGAACGCUGGCGGCGUGCCUAAUACAUGCAAGUCGAGCGGACGGAUGGGAGCUUGCUCCCAGACCGUCAGCGGCGGACGGGUGAGUAACACGUGGGCAACCUGCCUGUAAGACUGGGAUAACUCCGGGAAACCGGGGCUAAUACCGGAUAACUCUUUCCCUCACAUGAGGGAAAGCUGAAAGAUGGCAUCUCGCUAUUACUUACAGAUGGGCCCGCGGCGCAUUAGCUAGUUGGCGAGGUAACGGCUCACCAAGGCGACGAUGCGUAGCCGACCUGAGAGGGUGGUCCGCCACACUGGGACUGAGACACGGCCCAGACUCCUACGGGAGGCAGCAGUAGGGAAUCUUCCGCAAUGGACGAAAGUCUGACGGAGCAACGCCGCGUGAGUGAUGAAGGUUUUCGGAUCGUAAAACUCUGUUGUCAGGGAAGAACAAGUACCGGAGUAACUGCCGGUACCUUGACGGUACCUGACCAGAAAGCCACGGCUAACUACGUG